rnacentral:piRNA from 1 species
ACNCAAAGUAGCCCCAUUUGCAAAGUUUAU